AUAACUGACUAUUUUGCAGCUAUGGAAAAUUGACUUAAUCGAUGAUGUAUUUUUUUUUAAUGGCAAUUCUGCCCCUACUCCGUAAUUAAACACUUACGUUUUUACACAUAUAUAAACACUCUGUAUAUAUAUAUUACGUACGCGUGAGAAAGCUUGUCAAGACAAACACGAUAACCGAUUAUAUGCAUUUAAUAUAAACCGUAACUUCUCCUUUCUCUCUCAAAAUCACUGUUCACUCAUCUUCCCUUUUCAUCUUGUUUUCUCUAGAAACCUCAUAGAUCAUGAUCUCCAAGUUCUUCCGAAUUAAGGUUUCCAAUCACAUCUGUAACAGUCACAUUUCGACUUCCUGAUCAACGAACCUUCUUGUUUACUCCGCUGACCAUUUUAUCUAGUUUCCUCGCAAAACAUCACCGGCAUCUCUAUCAAUCCCUUUGGUUUCUCCGUAGCGUCGUUUCCUUUUUCUCACAAUCUCCUCGAGUUCUCACCUCCUUGAUAUUUCUGCAACCGACGUUUGACGGGUCCUCUAAUCGGUCGUUUCUUCCUCGUUAGUCUGAUUUUACGAUGGUCUCUGAAGAUGUGUUAAUCUCUGGAACCAUCAUUCAAAUUCUCAAUCACGUACAUCCCCAAAAGCACCGCCGCGAAGUACGUCUUUUACGAGAAUCCAAGGAACAUCGUGUGUGGACUUCUCCGGACAGUGGGAAAGAGCUCUGCCGCAAAAAUAGUGCUUUUCAACAUCCCUUUAGUAACUUUUGUGAUCAAGAUUCUUUCUUUUCUUCUCUUUUUUUUGAGCAAAAAUAUUGAGCAUGUGAUGGUUCUAUCUCUGAAGGGUUUCAUUGCUUUGCAAUUUUGGAGCAGAGGAGUUUCAACGAGCUUCUUCUUAUCAUGUUUUUUUUGUUGCCAAGGAUGUUUGGCUUCCUGUGAUAUAUGUGAAGAUCUUCUGAAGUAAAACAUGCAUCUUUUGGAACAUGAGUUUUGCCAUUUCAAACUAAAGACAGUCAAUUGUUCAAA